UACAGAGGUCUCAAGCGUUGUUCGGAUUCACUGGGCGUAAAGGGUGCGUAGGUGGUGAGGUAAGUCGGAUGUGAAAGCUCCGAGCUCAACUCGGAAAUGGCAUUGGAAACUACCUUGCUCGAGGGUUUGAGGGGGGACUGGAAUACUUGGUGUAGCAGUGAAAUGCGUAGAUAUCUGGAGGAACACCGGUGGCGAAGGCGGCAUCCUGGACCGGUAUUGACGCUGAGGUGCGAAAGCGUGGGGAGCAAACAGG
rnacentral:rRNA from 1 species